rnacentral:sRNA from 1 species
UUAGUAUUUUAAUAAAUAUUAGUUCUAUAAUUAAAUUUUAAUAAUAAAAUAAUAUUUGACCAAUAGAUGAUAUACAAGUGUUCUUAUGGGUUUUUCAGAGUUUUUCACUUGAGAGACUAAUUUUACUCUCUCUCUUACUUUUUGAUUAUAUUUUAUUUUUAUAUUAAACAGUUUUUCAAU